GUGGGGAAUAUUGGACAAUGGGCGAAAGCCUGAUCCAGCCAUGCCGCGUGUGUGAAGAAGGUCUUCGGAUUGUAAAGCACUUUAAGUUGGGAGGAAGGGCAGUAAGUUAAUACCUUGCUGUUUUGACGUUACCGACAGAAUAAGCACCGGCUAACUUCGUGCCAGCAGCCGCGGUAAUACGAAGGGUGCAAGCGUUAAUCGGAAUUACUGGGCGUAAAGCGCGCGUAGGGGGUUUUGUAAGUUGGAGGUGAAAUCCCCGGGCUCAACCUGGGAACUGCCUCCAAAACUGCAUGACUAGAGUACGGUAGAGGGUAGUGGAAUUUCCUGUGUAGCGGUGAAAUGCGUAGAUAUAGGAAGGAACACCAGUGGCGAAGGCGACUACCUGGACUGAUACUGACACUGAGGUGCGAAAGCGUGGGGAGCAAACAGGAUUAGAUACCCGGGUAGUCC
rnacentral:rRNA from 1 species